rnacentral:rRNA from 1 species
CUCGGGGACAUAGCGAUAGUAUGGCUAACCAAGCUUUUCAACCUCAUUUUUCGGGCAAACAAGAUGCCAGAAGAAUGGAGACGGAGUAUAUUAGUACCAAUCUUCAAGAACAAGGGGGAUGUUCAGAGUUGUACUAAUUACCGUGGAAUUAAGCUGAUGAGCCAUACAAUGAAGCUAUGGGAGAGAGUCAUUGAGCACCGCUUAAGAAGAAUGACAAGCGUGACCAAAAAUAAGUUUGGUUUCAUGCCUGGGAGGUCGACCAUGGAAGCCAUUUUCUUGGUACGACAACUUAUGGAGAGAUAUAGGGAGCAAAAGAAGGACUUGCAUAUUGUGUUCAUUGACUUGGAGAAGGCCUAUGAUAAGAUACCGCGGAAUGUCAUGUGGUGGGCCUUGGAGAAACACAAAUUCCCAGCAAAGUACAUUACCCUCAUCAAGGACAUGUACGAUAAUGUUGUGACAAGUGUUCGAACAAGUGAUGUCGACACCGAUGACUUC